rnacentral:rRNA from 1 species
ACGUAGGGUGCGAGCGUUAAUCGGAAUUACUGGGCGUAAAGCGUGCGCAGGCGGUUUUGUAAGCCAGAUGUGAAAUCCCCGGGCUUAACCUGGGAAUGGCAUUUGGGACUGCAAGGCUGGAGUUUGGCAGAGGAGACUGGAAUUCCUGGUGUAGCAGUGAAAUGCGUAGAUAUCAGGAGGAAUACCGAUGGCGGAGGCAAUCCCCUGGGCCUGCACUGACGCUCAUGCACGAAAGCGUGGGGAGCAAACAGGA